GACGAACGCUGGCGGCGUGCUUAACACAUGCAAGUCGAGCGGUAAGGCCCUUUCGGGGGUACACGAGCGGCGAACGGGUGAGUAACACGUGGGUGACCUGCCCUCAGCUCUGGGAUAAGCCUGGGAAACCGGGUCUAAUACCGGAUAUGACUCCAUGACGCAUGUUGUGGGGUGGAAAGCCUUGUGCGGCUGAGGAUGGGCCCGCGGCCUAUCAGCUUGUUGGUGGGGUGAUGGCCUACCAAGGCGACGACGGGUAGCCGGCCUGAGAGGGCGACCGGCCACACUGGGACUGAGACACGGCCCAGACUCCUACGGGAGGGCAGCAGUGGGGAAUCUUGCGCAAUGGGCGAAAAGCCUGACGCAGCGACGCCGCGUGAGGGA
rnacentral:rRNA from 1 species